ACAGAGGGUGCGAGCGUUGUUCGGAAUUAUUGGGCGUAAAGCGCUUGUAGGCGGCUUGUCAAGUCGCGUGUGAAAUCCCCUGGCUUAACCAGGGAAGUGCGCGCGAAACUGGCGAGCUUGAAUGCCGGAGAGGGUCGCGGAAUUCCCGGUGUAGAGGUGAAAUUCGUAGAUAUCGGGAGGAACACCAGUGGCGAAGGCGGCGACCUGGACGGACAUUGACGCUGAGACGCGAAAGCGUGGGGAGCAAACAGGAUUAGAUACCCUGGUAGUCCACGCUGUAAACGAUGGGUGCUAGCUGUGGUGGGUGUUGACCCCUGCCGUGGCGCAGCUAACGCAAUAAGCACCCCGCCUGGGAAGUACGGCCGCAAGGCUA
rnacentral:rRNA from 1 species